UGUAAGUGAGCGGGAGAUGUGGUUUCGGAAAGUGAGACAAGCGGGGUUUGUUGCAGGUAUUCAGAGGGUGCCUUUGCUUGCCUCCUGAUGUUAGCCAGAUGGCAUCUCUGCCUCCUGCGUUGUUGUUGUGUCUGGCCUAAACAAGGUUGAAGUAAAUUAUACCAAUUUACCUAUGAAUUUGGGACAUUUGCAACAAUAAAAUCCAAAAUCUAUAAUGUUAUGUGUUUUUGGUGUAGACAAAUGGAGGCAUUCUGUGAAAUAGACAGAUGGAUUUUUUAUUAACGAUGGGAUGUUGGGCAAAGCAACCAAUCUGAUCGUAGAAUUUAUAUUGUAGAAUCUGAUAGUGAAUUGUGAAGUUGAAUCGUAUUGGUUUCUAUGGGCAACAUCCCAUCUAAAAGAAAAGUCACAACUUUGUAACAAACAUAAGGUCUGCUGACAUUUUGCUAUACAGAGAUCCCACACAAACAAACAAACACAUAUAUACAUUAACACACCAGCACAAACUCACUGUCACCCAAAUACACACUAGCAAACAAACAAACAAACAAACAAACAAACACACACUCACUGACAAACACACUAACAAACUCAGAUGCUAAUACGACUCUAACAUGCAUGUUUACUUAUGCAUGUGUACGUAUGCGUGUCUACUUAUGUCUGCGUAUGUCCACUCGAAUACACCUCAGCAAAUCCGGCUGCCGCCUACGGAUACAGAUCGAUACAGUCCUCUCUACCAUUGGAACUCCUUAUGUAGAACAAGAACUAUCUCAUGAGGCUGAUGCUGGUGAGGCACAUCCUGAUGCAGAAGAAGAUGACGUUGUGGAGGGGGGUUCCUUGGCAUUUUUGGAUGAGGAAGUGUAAUAUGUUGAAACACCACACCAACCCCAAAGGCCAACUGCCCAUAUCCCACUACCUGUAACUCCUCUACUCAUUAGUCGACAUAUCCAGCAGGAAAUACUGACAGAAAGUCGACGCAAUUCCCAGAUUUUCCAGCAGAUUUUAGAUGAGGUGCAUGAAAGAAACAUCCUCAGCAGGGCAAGAAAUCAGCUCCUGGACCAGCACAACACAAUUAUGCACAAUCUUACCAAUGUUGUAGAAGAGAGCAUGAGGCAGAUUGUAGCAGUUGUGGCUGAAGUACGUCACAACACCAUGUUAUCUCCAUCAUCCACACAGAACAUUGCAAACAACAUGGUUACUGACAGGAUGCGACGAUCAACCAGACGAUCGACUUCCGCUAGUGAACCCCCAAACAUAGGGGCAAAAAAAAAAAUAGUGUGUUUUUGAUUGUGAAGUGGUCAAACAUUACAUAUUAUUGUUUCUUUACUUUUAUUUACAUACCUUACUUUAAGAAAUUAUGUGUAAAUAUUUGUUUCAAUAAGUAUACAAAUGGAGCAGAAUUUGCAAAACUUGAAAAUAAAAAGAUGGUGUUGCUGUUCUACAACAUA